UGAUAACUUAAUAAAUAUAAAUAUACUGACGAUAAAUCGUUGAAAUAAAAAUAAUACUGCAGAGUGGAGCUCGGUAAACUGAUCAAGUACUUUUUGUUAGCUCAGAAAUCAACAAAUAAUAAUACCGAUGUAUCGUUAUUUGUGUUUGGUUAUUUUUAGAGAAAUUUUCGAAAUUAUAGACAAUUUUUCAAAUAAAAAUGAUCGGGCGAAAAUUUCGCAUCUUUAAAGGUACUGGG